rnacentral:ncRNA from 1 species
UCCAAAGUUUUACUCAGGAUGGAUGGAGUUCUUACAGACAGGCAGUUAAUUCAGCAUAGCAAGUGGUUAUGGGUCUUGGGCUGUAAAGAUCUCAAACUGUUCUCAAACUUUAAAUAGGCAAAAACUGUUGAGCUGCAGGCAUGAAGCCAGGGCCACUUCCGGUAAGCAGAACUGGCAGUGGAGAGUGAACCCAAUGCCAAGUCAAAGCUUUAAACGCUCAAGCUUAUCAGAUCCCAGCAAAAACACUGGUUGAUAUAUGCAUAAAGACAGGAGCCAAGAAAGUCAAAAUCUACUAAGGAGUGAUAACAAGUUACCUACCAUGUCAUUUAACCCUGAAAAUAAAUGAUAUUACAACAUCAAUUCCAUACAAACUGUGGCUGGCCAUGAACCAUCAAGUGGGA